CGUGCCGGGGCAGGUGGAAGAGGAACGGGGCCGUGCCGGGGCAGGUGGAAGAGGAACGGGGCCGUGCCGGGACAGGUGGAAGAGGAUCGGGGCCGUGCCGGGGCAGGUGGAAGAGGAUCGGGGCCGUGCCGGGGCAGGUGGAGGAUGUUCGGAGCAGUCUCACCUCGGAAGACGGCCAGGGUGCCAUUGGGCAGGGCCACCAUGCCGUCCGCUGGCUUGCCGCUGCACAGGUCCUUCUCGUCGUUCUUCCCUGCAAAACACAGCCAGCCAUGGACGCUGUCCAAGACUGACAAUGGUCUGUACCCUGUUUUUGGAGGAAGUGUGUGAAAAUCCAAUAGAGACACAGGCGACAUCACCACCCUGCACCAUCUGUGCUGGGUGAACUCUCCAAAGUCCUGAGGGCUCAGUGAGAGCUCAUUUGCUGGUGUCCUUAAAGCUACAUGAGGGCAGGACUGCACAUCCAGAUCUGUGCCUUUAUGCUCAGCUGAAACCCCACCAGGCUCUGCAGAAAAGGACAGAACAAAAUAAGUGACUGUAAGUCAGUUUGAUUCUGCCCUGGACUGAACUUGCAGCCUAAAGUUGUUACCAAAGCACACGCUGUCUGUUUAAAUACAUCUUUGAGAAACAGUGAUGGAGAAAUGUCUUACCCUCUUUGCAGUGCUCGGCGUAGUCUGGGCAGCAUUUUCCGUACCGCUCGCAGUCGGCAUCGCAGUCGCACUCCCUUCCCCUCUCGAAGGCUUCGAAGCAGCGUCCUGCACAGGAGGCGGCUGUGGAGGCAGAGCAGCGCAGUCAGGCUUUGGGCCAGCUCAUGUGCAACGCUGGGACCUCUCUACAGUGAAGUCGUUGGCUCGAGCUGGUGCCAAGAACAGCUCCAUAAAAUCAGGCACUUAUCCUGGUCCGAUCCAGGAUUUGUCUGCAAAGUGGGGUUUGGAUCAGGCAGUGCCACCAGAAGGGCACUGUGCCAUGGCAGUGACCACUGGAUUGACAGUGCAAUAAAACGUGACUGCCGCGUUCACUUUAGCCAGGUCCCACCGUAGGAGGGUUCCGCUUCCCCAACCACAGGGCGGUGAUCUCAACAGUGAUAUUUAAAUUCUGGGCUGGGUUUGCAAGAAGGUUCACCAAGGUACCCCUCUGCAACAAGAAUGAUGUGUCUACCAAAGUGUUUCUGAAAAAUAAUUGGCCUUUUGCUUACAACCAAUUAGGAGUGUACCUGGUGUGUCCAGGCAAAAACUGCAACCUAAUUGUGUGAACAGGUUAACCAAGUUACUUCAAGAGACCACUUUGGAACUUUUUAAUACAGUUCUUAAAGAAUUAGUACGAAAGGACUAUAUACCAUGUUUUGACAUGAUUAAUAACCACAAGAUUUUAAUAUUUCAUGUUUGGUUAACUUCUGAAACUUCACUGACUAAGCUGCUAUUUCAUAUCAAAUAAUGACCAUUUUGUUUAGAAAGAGUCUACAGAGCAAUUAAGAUUCAAAAAAAGCAUUUUCUCUACGUAUGUCUCUAUUGAAGUAAUUGUCUCUGUGGCACACAAGGCAUAGAAUCAUGUUUUACAGUUAAAUCACUAUCUAGAAAAAUUAGGAUUACUGUAUAGGCAGUUUCUGAACAUCUUUGGAUUAGUGUAGUUUUGGAUUAAGUGUCAAUGUCAGUGGAUCUAUCCCACAUGAACAGGUGAGAAUUAUUUUUAUUAUCUUAGGGAAAUUUUUAUGCAUAGAUAAUGUCUGGAAUUUCUGUCUUUUAGUCAGUGUAGAUUCCACACUAACUGGUUCUGAGAAGUAUUUGUUAAUCCUGUAAUCCUACUGGAACCACGGUGUAGCGUAACAAACUACUGUUACCCAAAUCACUGACAUUUCUACAUCGGUGAUUCCUAAGAAAAUGCUUUUAAUGCUCAGUCAAGCAAUUUGAAAAACCUGAUUUUAUUUACAUUAUCCAGUUUUGCCUAUAAAUAAAGCAUAAAACAAUACUACUCUAACCACCUUUUCCAGCAGCCUCUGGACAUGGUUCUGAUCCAAAGUCAAUUUCUGUCCAGGACACCCUGGCUUUGGAUUAGAUCCCACAGCAUCCACACUUCUUAAAUUUGAGUUGGAAUAUGUAAUAAUUUCUUUCUGCAAAACCCUGAAUUUGAUUUUACCACUUUUUUUUUCUUUGUAUAAGAGACAUAUACAUACUGUACAAAUGCACUAAGGAGUAGAAAACAAACAGUAAACUGUUUUUGCCCAUCUUGCCUAGUUCUGCUUUUGUAAAAGGCAAAAUUCUUAGCUUGGAAAUAACCUGUGGAUACACAAUUUUCUUUGGAUUGCAAGAGGUUAUCCUGAAUAUUUGAGGAGAACAACAAUACAUGUAUGAGAGGGAACAAGGACACAGCAAACCAACAGACAUUUAAGCAUUCAGAGAGGAGACACUGGUGUGGUAGGGAGCUGGGAGGGGAAUUUUGAGGAGAAGAACUGGCUAUGUUUGGGAACUUACCCACUGUGCAGACUUUCCUGAAGUCAGGGCAGCACUCCAUGUAGUGGUGACAGUUAAAAUCACACUGGCAGUCAUGCUCUCUAGAAUACCCUGCCCCACAUCUCCCUGUACAGCUCGAUACAUCUAAAAUCACACAACACUGGUGUAAGCGUUGCCCAGCCACAACAGUCCUUAAGGAAAUGCUGAAUGGAAAAGGACUAAAGUUUCUCUCUUUUCCCCCACAGAAUGUGGUUUCUUCACUCAAUACUGCAAAAGCUGAGGGCCUGGUGUGACCCCUCCUGAAGGUGUGGAAAGCAGAGGUUUGCUCUGAGCCAGCCUGAGGACCAGCAGCAGCAUUGUGUUCAGAAAAGCCUUUAAACUCAUUAUAGCUGCAGAUAUUAUGGAAUCUUGAAGAGCAGGAGGAGGAGAAGCAGAUUUGCUGGCUGGUUGCAUCCAUGGAUGGAAUGGACUUCUGUGGAGCUUUGGUUGUAUGGAGUAGUUCUACUGAAUCAUAGCUGCAAUAAAACAAGAGAUUUAACUAUAGGAAGAAGAAAAAAGGUGUCAAACAACACUUCAAAGUGAAAAAUGGCCCAGGAUAAGAAGAAUGAAGAAAGUUAACAUGAGAAAGUCAGUCAUGCAGUGGCACCAGAGAACUCUGCAUUUUCCUCUCUGGGCAUGGGAAAGUCCUGUUCCUUUGACUGCUUUAUGUGAAGAGCUGGCACACUCCAGUUGUUCCUGUGGUAUUUGGGAACUCAUUCUUCUCCCAGGAAAGAGAGCAGCACUUAAGCCAUUCAGACUCUCCAGCAUUAAUGGAAGUUGGUGAAGAAGGUGCUUUAGUUUUCCAGACUUCAUUGUGGUACUGAGUGAUGGCAACAAGUUCCAUUUGGUCUUGGGCUGAAUCAAAGCUCUCCACUGGAUCAGAGGCCAGAAGCCCACAAGGACAGAGGACCCCUACAGGAUUCUCCUCAGAAACAAAGCACAGCACUGCCCAGAAGCCCUCCAUGCAUUUGUGCAUCCCAUAUCCUGACAGAGCUAACUGGAAAUGUGCCAAGUGUCUCCUCUGCACCCUGGCCAGGGGAUCCCACAGCCAGUGCUGUGUGUGCUGUUCCUGCUCGUGUGCAACAGCGGGGCAGGCGCUGGGAUUCCAGCCUUGUAAAAUAAUCCAUGGAUUUCAACUGUUGCACUGUGCCAAGUUUUCAUUGGCAGCAGCCUUGGAUUUGAGCUGCCAGAACCAGAAACGCCUCUGAAGGCAAAGGACACCAGAACUCCCCCUUGGAGCCGGGAGCAGCGUCCUGCCUGUAAGCGCCCUGCCGCUGUGGGCAGUGACGGCUGCGUUACUCAGCAUCCGGCCUGGUUUCGCACCCACUGUCUGCAUCUGACUUGGAAGUGGACAUUUCCCAGUCAGGCACAGCGGCUGAGCAUCCAUCUCACCUGAUGACAUGUUUUUCCUUUAGCCAACAGUGCUGUGCAUCCAGCACAGGCUCAUUACUGUACCCAUGCAGUAGCUUUUCACUUCAGCCAGUGUGCAAAGGAAAACAAAGCCCCAGUGCAUUUCUCUCUCCAGGGAGAGCUGGAUCCUUACAGAAGGUAUGAUGGGCAUUCCUUACCUGCCUCUGGUUCCUGAACACCUGCCUUUUAUGGUGGCUGUGAGAUACUUGAUGCUGUGGUGGGGUUGGCAUUAGGGCAUUAGUUACCUUUAACAGAUGCUGGUUGUGAAUUUUCCAUCCUUUCUGGCCCCAGUCAGCCCUGGUUUCAUCCCUGAACUUGUUUUCCUGCCUUACUCCUCUCCUAGACCUUAGAUUUGAAAGGAACCACAUGGAUUUUUGCAAAGGGCUGUAUUUAAUAUGCAGUUUCAUUUAGGCUUUACCAAGUAAGGAUUGCUUUUGGGAGGAAGAGUGAGUCUGGCUGUGUUCUGGCAAAGGCUGGGGUUUAGCAGAUGUUUUCCUGGAAUACGGGCAUGGGCUGAGUGCUCUGGGCACUGCUGCAGCAAGCAGGUGGCUGGGAUCCAAGGUGUGCCCACCGGGAGGUGAGCCUCAGGAGACUUGUGCCCAGCUGCUGGGAUGCCACCAGGUAUCACCCUGAAACCACCCGUGUACAAAUUCCUCACUAUGGGAAAUACACCCUGUGGAAGAUGGCAAAAGAGGAUUUGUUUGAUCCUGGUAGUGUAAUUAAUGAAAUGUAGCUAUGUUUGCACAGAGGUGAGGGCCAGGAGCCUGUGGCACAGGACAGUGUUUCAGGCAUAAAUGGGCCAGGAGAAAACACUGCUCCGGAAAAUCCAAUAAUCAAGGGGAACAGUAGGCUUGUGCAGAAGGAAGGUAAGCACAGACCUGAGGUAGCAGUGGAUCAUUAACUAUCUGUUCAUAAUUUGCUCUCCCUAAGACCUCCCUUUAUUUUUUUUAAGUAUUAUUUUUCUGGUGGUAUUGCUGUUAUGAUGCUGUUAUUAAAGAGUAAGUUGUUUGUGAUAGGAGGGCAUUUGCAAAUAGUUUUGUGACAAAUAAUAUGGUGACAAAUAUCAGCUUUUCAUGGGAUGGUAGUGAACCUUUAACUGCAAAUAUUACUGCAGACUAAUAGAGGGUCUUGGACAAAGUGACUGUACAGCCCUGAGACAAUGAAAAUUGCAUCUAAAGUUUGGGCAGCCUUAUCCAAGGUGGUAAUAAACACGGUAGAAUAUUUGUUGUAUUUAAAAUUUGUAUUUAUGAAAGCAGGAUUUUUAACCUUUAGCAAA